AUUGAACGCUGGCGGCAGGCCUAACACAUGCAAGUCGAGCGGAGUGGCGAUCGGGUGAGUCACACGUGGGUGACCUGCCCUUCACUUCGGGAUAAGCCUGGGCAACUGGGUCUAAUACCGGCUAGUUGGGGGUGGGACCGCGGCCUAUCAGCUGGUUGGUGGGGUAAUGGCCUACCAAGGCGGCUACGGGUAGCCGGCCUGAGAGGGUGGACGGCGACAUUGGGACUGAGACACGGCCCAGACUCCUACGGGAGGCAGCAGUGGGGAAUAUUGCACAAGGGGCGGAAGCCUGAUGCAGCGACGCCGCGUGGGGGAUGACGGCCUUCGGGUUGUAAACUCCUUUCACCAUCGACGCGGUAGAUGGAGAAGAAGCACCGGCUAACUACGUGCCAGCAGCCGCGGUAAUUC
rnacentral:rRNA from 1 species